rnacentral:tRNA from 1 species
CAAAAAAUAGUUUAAUUAAAAUAUUAAUUUUGGAAAUUAGAGAUAUAAAUUUAAUUAUUUUUUUGA